rnacentral:rRNA from 1 species
AUUGAACGCUGGCGGCAUGCCUUACACAUGCAAGUCGAACGGCAGCACGGGGCAACCUGGUGGCGAGUGGCGAACGGGUGAGUAAUGCAUCGGAACGUGCCAUUGAGUGGGGGAUAACGUAGCGAAAGUUGCGCUAAUACCGCAUAUUCUGUGAGCAGGAAAGCAGGGGGACCGCAAGGCCUUGCGCUCUUUGAGCGGCCGAUGUCAGAUUAGCUAGUUGGUGAGGUAACGGCUUACCAAGGCGACGAUCUGUAGCGGGUCUGAGAGGAUGAUCCGCCACACUGGAACUGAGACCGGUCCAGACUCCUACGGGAGGCAGCAGUGGGGAAUUUUGGACAAUGGGCGCAAGCCUGAUCCAGCCAUGCCGCGUGAGUGAAGAAGGCC